rnacentral:lncRNA from 1 species
UAUGGUUUAUACUUGGGUUUAUGAUUUAUAUUUGGGUUUAUAGUUUAGUAACUAGGUAACUAGGGUUUAGAGUUUAGUAAUUAGGGUUUAGUAAUUAGGGUUUAGAGUUUCUUAUUUAUGAGUUGGGGUUGGGAUAGUAUUUAGUAUUUAACGAUUGUGGAUGUUGUUGCAUCCUCCUAUACUAUUUUGGCGAUAUGGAAUGGAACACUACGUACAUAUGUAUGUGGUCAAUAAACGUGUAACGUGGAUGUCUCUUUUCUUUCAUAUGACAUAGUUUUAAGUCACUCCUCACCAUAUAUUAUUUGUGAUACGUCAUG